UCGUGCAAAUGUUUUAUGAAACGUAAAUAAACAGACAGAUUUCACAUUGAAAAUAAUAAUCAAGGAAUAUCAAUAUGAAGACGUGGUUGAUUUUGGUUAUAUUUCUCGUUGUCAAACUCAUUGAAUGCAGAGAAAUUACCAAGGAAGAGAAUGAGCUCGGCAGUCCCCCAGGUGAUGCUCCCAUUGAAAAAAAAGCUGGAGGAGAUCCAAGGCAAAAUACUGUAGACCAAGCAAUAACUGAAAAGCAACAAAACCUUCAAGUUAUACAACCUUCCUCAGACAUCAGGAAUGUAGGUACUAAUCAGACCUUGUCAGAGCAGCAUGGAGCACAGCAACAACUAAAUCAGCUCCAGACAAAAGUGAUCCCAGUACAGCAACAAGAUACUCAGUCACAAAAACAACAAGAUAUUCCUAAGCAACAGGAUACUCAGUUUCAACAACAAGCUAAAUCUCAGCAGACAAGUCACUCACAAGGAGCUAGCCAGCAUCAACAUUUGUUAGAUCAAAAGCCAGUAAAUCAGUCUCAACAACAAACAAAAUCUCUAAUAGAAGUGAUCCCAGCUCAACAAGAAGUUGCCCAGUCUCAACAGGUGAUCCCUUUACAAAAACAGGCAACUCUUUCACAACAGCAGGUAAAUGCUGAACAAAAUCAGGCAACACCUUCACAAAAACAGGCAGCUCUUUUACAACAACAGGCAACUCCUUCACAACAACAGGCAACUCCAUCACAAAAACAGUCUGCUCCUUCACAAAAACAGGCAACACCUUCACAACAGGCAACUCCUUUACAACAACAGGCAACACCUUCACAACAACAGGCAAUUCCUUUACAACAACAGGCAACACCUUCACAACAACUGGCAACUCAAUCUCUUCCGCAUGAAAGCCAGUUUCAGCAGCAGGUAGCUCCAGCAACAAAUCAAUCUCAACAAGUAUUUCUUUCCCAGCAGGAGGGGUCACAGCAGACACGUCAGUCUCAACAAGUUGCAGCCAAAUUACACCAAUUAAUUGACAAUACACAAAAUACAUCAAUAUUGACACAGGUAGAUGUUAACCUAAAACAAGAAGUUGUACAACCAGUGAAUCAGGAAGUUAAACAAGAAGUUGUACAACCAGUGAAUCAGGAAAUUAAACAAGAAGUUGUACAACCAGUGAAUCAGGAAAUUAAACAAGAAGUUGUACAACCAGUGAAUCAGGAAGUUAAACAAGAAGUUGUACAACCAGUGAAUCAGGAAAUUAAACAAGAAGUUGUACAACCAGUAAAUCAGGAAAUUAAACAAGAAGUAAAAGCUUUGUAUCCUGAACCUUCACAGAAUUUUGUUCAAGAAAUAAAACAAAAUGAAAAUAAUAUUGAACAAAAAGAAACAAAACAGCAGUCAAUUCCAGUCAUAACACCAAAACAGGAUACCAGUAUAACACCAAUACAACUGGAAUCUAGACCACAAGAAUCUAAUUAUAGAACAACACUACAGCAGAUAUUGAUUAGACCAGAAUUUAGCUACAAAACUACAGUACAACCAACAUUUAGUACAACAGGUGAUACAAUGGAUAAUGGUGAUGAUUAUUUAGUUGACUGGGAUAAAGAUCAAGAUUUGGAUGCAACUAAUGACCAAAAAACUGAUGUUGAUAGUUUGGUUGAUGAAGAUAAAGAUGUUUGGGAUGAUUCAGAUCAAGAUCCAUGGGACAAAAAUAUAGAUCUUAAUGUAGAUAACAAUGAAGAAGAGCUAGAAAAUGAAAACAACAAUUUUAUUGAGGAUACUAAAAAAUUCCCUGAUGGUCAGGAUAAUGGUUAUUUUGAUGAAGAUGAUUUUAACAGUGUUGCUGAUAAAACAGGAGAUUUCUGGGAUGAACCAAUGUUUAACAAGCAUCCUUUGAUAAAAGACAAGUUUGUAACAAAGAAUUAUAGAAGUCCAGUAGCAGACGAGACUAAAUUAAUGGGAUUCUAUAGCUGGGUUCUCUUUGUGACACUUUUGUUUCUUAUAAUGUUUGUCCUGUUCACACAACAUAGACCAAGGUCGAGAUGGUUUGGACUUGGAAGACGAUAUAGAUCAUCAUCAAAAUCUGUAGCGUAUUGAUGUUGGACGGAGUAUUAAUCCACAUAUUGUUUAUGAUUUCAGUGUGGACUUCUAUAUGGAUCAAGGAACCGACACAGGAGGCCAUCUGUAUCUACAGAAGAAGGAAAAAGUCUCAUGAAAAAUAUGUAUACUUAAUUUAUACUUAAACUUAUACUAAAAAAAAUUUGAGAACUACUUAAUUUUUAUAUUUCUUUCACUACCUUGUGGGUAUUAACAACUCCAUUUCCUAUUUUAUUUAACUGAUUUUUCUUUUGCUUUUGAAUUUUGAAAGUAUUGCUUUAGCUUUUAUUGUUUACAAUAAGUGGGAGAGAAAAAGUAAUCUGUGGAGAUUUUUUUCUGUAUACUUGUUUAUUUUAUUUUUAAUGUCCUUAUUGGUUUUGAUUGACAUAAAUGUAAGAGGGAAAAAUGAUCUGUGGAAUCAUAUUUCUGUAUGCUUAAAAUCACAAAAGAUCUCACAUUUUAUGUGUUUACAUUUUAAGGUCUGCAAGUAUCAUUUUGGUUACAUUAUACUUUAAAUUCAGAAAUUAUUGCAUGUAUUAAAUAUAAAGAUUUUUAAAGACUGAACAAAAAGAUUAGUUAUCACAGUUCAGGAAAAGUUUCAAACAGAUAUAUGUAUCAGAUAUUAGAAUGCAAGUUCUUCUUACUGUGAUACUCACCUAGUCACAUUAAUAAAAACUUUGCAAUUAUUUCUGAAUUUACAGUAUAUCAUUUGAAAGCAGAGAAAGAAAUAUUUUUUGGCAGCCUAUUUUUAUUGAAGAACUGGUCAUUAUCAUGAUAUAUGGACUGCCCACAGGACAGUGGUAUUGACUAAGACAGAGAUAAUGACUGAUCUGUAGGCAGUCAAUACCACUGUCAUAAGGGCAGUCCAUGUAUCACGAUAAUGACCAGUUCUUCAAUAACUAUUAUGUUUAUUUCAUUGAGGAACCAUGUUUUUAAAAAUUCUCAUAAAUUCAAAUUGUUCAAAGCAGACUCGAGUUAUUGUACGAUUUCUAUAGGAAAGAGUGAAGACCAGUCAUAUUGAUAACUAUAAGUCAGUACCGUUCAUUUAAAUGCAAUUUUUCAGUAUAUGAAUACAAAAUAAAGUUUUCCAUAAUUUUAUAAUUCUUGUUGCUGAGUAGUUUUUCUCUAUCAGCAUUGGAAAUUACGGCAAAACGAUCAUUUGAGUUGUCUGCAGCAGGUGUGUCUUCCAGUUCAGCCAUGUUCCAAACGUCUGAAUCGCGAUUGCAUUUUUUUAUUAAAGGGACAUCACUCUAAACAGAGAAACCACGCCCCAUUGGUCAUUAACAUGUAAAAGUCCUUUAAUGACCAGUUUUCUGGUACGUUUUUUUUUUGUGAAAGACCGAUGGAAUUUUUUACUAAAGAAUAAAGAAUGUCAUGUGGCCCCUUGUUAUCCAAUAAGAGAAGCUUAUUCUCUACCAAUAUGAAAUAAUAUUUGUUAGAUAUUUUACUUUAGGUAGAUUCUAUUCUAUCUGAUUGAAAUACAGAUACUGUGUUCAUGCUUCACUAAAAGGAUCUGUUCUAUUUUCUGUUUUAAAGAUCUUUAGGCACCCUCAGGUUUUGUUGUAAUAUAAACACCUUAAUAAAUUGAAGCCAGAAACUUUAUUUAGUGGUAUAAACAUUAUCAGAACAGAAAGUAGGAUGGAGAUUUGACUCCAUUCUUUGUGUAAAAUUUUACCCUUAAGGCAUACUAAGGCGAUCUAGGAGUAAAAUUUUAAAAAGAUAUAAAGCUUAAUCAUUAUUUAAGUCACUUCUUAUUUAAAAUGUUUCCCCAAAAAUUGCAUUGAAAGAGUUUGUGAUAUUUUAGUGCUUAUAAUAUAUUACAAUGUUGUCAGUGUUUGUUGGUCAUGGUUGAGUGAGUAUUAGAACAUGAAGCUUAUCACAAAGUGAUUGAAAUUUUCACAGGUUAUUACUAAUGAUAGAAUUUAGAUAUAUUGUAUUGGGAAUAUGGAUUGUGAUGUAAAGUUUUUAUUUCAGUAGAAUUAUAGUAGCUCAAGUUUUGCCCCUAUAUGUUACUAAGGUGAUACUGAUAUUAGUUGCACCAUCAGAAAGGAGUUAUGACAAUUUGAACAAUUUUAAAUAAAGCUGCUAGGCCUUCUUCAAUUUAAACCAGAAUUAUUGAAGCAGCUUGGCCUUCUUCAGUUGAAACCAGAACUAUAUCAUGAAAUUUGAAUUUGCAAACAGCAAGACUUAUUUCAAAUUUUCACUGAUUUCUUUUUGGUUUACAUUAAAGGGCCUGUCAAACUUAUCUUAUUUAAGUUUAGAAGGAUAAGUCUGAAUAUAGAUGUCUUUGUAUGACAAUUAAGCUACCAUAAUUCUACUGCUGAGAAAUAUUGUACUUUAUAUAAUUUAAAUUUUUAUUGUUGUUAUUGUUAGAGUUUAGCACUUGUUUUUUUUUUCACAUAUUUUAUGUUUUAUUUUGAUGACAUUUAUAACAUAUAUUGAGGGAAUUAUCUAUUUGGUUGUCAUUACUCGUCACUAAUAUUCACAUUCUUAUAUCAUUAUAAAGUCAAUUUCACAAUUGUAUUUUUUUUUCAUUGUUUGUAAAAUUUUAUGACAUGGUGUAAGGAAAUUUACAAUGUAAAAAUAUUUAUCUUCUUGUGUUACAGUGAGAAUGCAUAUAUUGUCAGCUUGCAUGAUAUAAUACUCAUUUUUAUCCAACAUUUAUAUAUAAAACUGUUGUUUUAUGCCCCACCUAGGGGCAUUAUGUUUUUCGGUCUGUGCUUCAGUUUGUCCGUCCGUUCGUUUGUCCCCCUUCAGGUUAAAGUUUUUGGUCAAGGUAGUUUUUGAUGAAGUUGAAGUCCAAUCAACUUGAAACUUGGUACACAUGUUCCCUAUGAUAUGAUCUUUCUAAUAUUUAUGCCAAAUUAGAGUUUUGACCCCAAUUUCAUGGUCCACUGAACAUAGAUAUGAUAGUGUGGGUGGAACAUUCGUGUACUAUGGACACAUUCUUGUUUUAUUUUAUUUUAUUCAUUAUUUUUUUCUUUUUUGUAAAAAAAAAUGUUGGGCUAAAAGUGAAAAAGUUUCUGUUACAACAUGUAGGUCAAGGGAAACAGAUUACAGUUAUAUUUAUGGAAUAUGAUAGAUUUCAAUAAAAAAAGGAGGAAUUGGUAUAUUUGAAAAGCUAUUUUUAACUUACGGUAAUAUUUUCAUCCAUAGUGUCAUUUUCAUCCAUAUCAUGAAUAUCACAUGUACAUGAAUUAAAAGAUUGUUUUCUAAAUUGUUGAUUAAGCCUGUAUGAAUGUGCCAUGUUCUAAGAUUUGCAGCUUUCGUUUUAAUAUAUAUAUAAUUGUGUGCCAUUAUAAUAGGAAUUACAAACUAGUUGCUAUUAUUGCAAAGUACUUUACUAGUCCCUUUUAUUUAGAAAAGUUUAUUUCAUUAUGAACAAAUAUUUCACAUUGAACAAGGUUUUGUGUUAGCAGCAAUUGAUAGUUGUUACUAGUAGUAACUUGUGUGUAUUUUUAUGAUCUCUUUGGAUUUUAUGUUGUUGUUAAAUUGAUUACUAUACUUAAUUAUAUAUAUAAUGGUUUCAUACAUUGAAAAAAAAUCAGAUGUGGUAUGAUUGCCAAUGAGACAAUUAUCAACCAGAGACCAAAUAAAGAGGAUAUAGGGCCUUCAACAAUGAGCAAAAGCCAUACCGUAUAGCAAGCUUUAAAAAGCCCUUUCAUGACAAAAUGUAAAAGAGUUUAAAAAUGAAAGGAAAAGGCCUCAUUUAUGAUAAAACAAUAAACAAAAGAGCAGAUAUGCAGCCAACAACUACCACUGAAUUACAGGCUCCUGGUUUGAGACGCACAUACAGAUUGAACAGGUUGAACAUGUUUCUGACUAUGUAACCCUCCCUUAACCUUAGACAAUGGUAAAAAAGCAAAACAAUGAACAAACAAUCAGAAGGAAAAGUCUUUUGACUAAGGCCUAUCAUGUGAUGUGAUUUGACAAAUCACAGCUUUCGAACAAUAUGAUACAUGUUUUAUUAUAAAAGAUUUAUAACCUGUCAUGUAUUACUCCUAUGAGGGGCACCUCUACACUUAUUAUCAUUUGUUUAAAUACAAAAUUGAUGAGAAAAAAUGAGAUUAUAAGGAAAUAUAUGGUCCAAUAAUCUGAUUUUGGUCUCUGACUAAUGUUUGUUUUACUCAGGUUUAUGUACCAAGCUUUCAUAUUGUACAUUUGAAUUGAGAAUUACUUGUUUACAAGCUUUUCUAAUAAAUUUGUUAUACGGGAAGUAUUUUCUGAUGAAAUAUUGAAUAUUCCCUAUGUUGAAAUCUAUCAAUACUUUUACAAAAUCACUUUUAUGCCCCACUGCAGUGAAGGGAGCAUUAAGUGUUACCCUUGUCUAUCCGUAUGUACAUCCAGAGAUUGGUUUUCAUUCUCUAACUUUAGUUUGCCUCAACCAAAUGUUAUGAAACUUAUAUACAAUGCUUAUUUCCAAGAUUUGAAUUUAGUGGCAUCACUUUUACUGUUCUAGAGUCAUGCCCCUUUACAAAUUGUAAAAUAGUUGAAUUUUUGUUUCUGUUCUCUAACUUAAGUUAGCCUCAACCAAAUGUUAUGAAACUUAGACACAGUGCUAAUUACCACAAAACUCAGAUCAAGUUAGAAUUUGGUUGGUGUCACUGUUACCCUUCUUGAGUUAUGUCCCUUUAUAACAUUAUAUGCAAGCAGGAGCAUCAUCUCUGUCCCAUGGACACAUUCUCCAUUUUUUUUUUUUAUUUCAGUAUUAAUUUAUAUAGCAGGGUGCUUUUUAUUGAAUUUAGCUAUGCAAGAGGGCAGUAUUAUCUAUAUAUCUAUUGAGGUGUAUGGUCUUAACUUGUGAAUAUAAUUAUACCAUACAUAUGUGUAUUGGGAAGGUUCAUUGUAUAUAUGACAUUUCAUGGAAUAUUUGUAUUCAUUUUUUUUUCUAUCAGUGCAAACAAAAUUCCAGAUAAAAAGGCUUAUUAUUAGUUUUUAUUCUACCAAUGUGACAAUGUUUGAUUAUAAACUAGUUUGUUAACCAAGAUAUAUGAAUAUUUUAUUCACGAUUCAUAAAUGCAAUAGUUUAUAUUUUCACCUAAUGAAAUGUUUCAUUAUUUUGUUCAAGGUUUAUCCAGAUUAUUGUUUCAGAAUAAUGAUAAUCAGUCCACCAACUCAAAUUUAUCCUGCAAUUAGACAUUUAACUAUACAAAUAUCAAUGUACAAAAAUAUGUGACACUUAUAUACUAUAUAUACACAUACUGUUUUUGGUUUUCUUCUUCUAUACUGAGUGUUGUCCUAAACAUGCAUAAAAUAUUUGCCACUGGACAAUCAAUUAUUCUGAGUGAAAUGUAGUAUUUGAAUAACCAUCACAAUUCAUUUUAUGGUCCUUGGCAUAGUCCGUAUAUGUUAUUGCUUCCACUGCUACUUAUUGAAUAUUUAACAACAUAGACUAUGUCAAGAAAUCAAACCUGUAGAAGUACAAAUAAGUUUUAUAUUGUUCCACAUAGAAAAUCUACUUUCUAUGAAACAGUUUGUAUGUAUACUGUAUAUGUAUUUGACUUUAAAAAAACAUCAGCAAUAACAUCUAAAUGCAAAUCUUCUACAAAUUCAAAUGUUAAAUGUUUGCUUUAAAAUGAAAAAAAAUAUCCUUUUAUAGUGAAUUUUAUAAUCUGCAAUAAAAUUUUCUUUGAAGAGCUUUGUUAAUAUUCUAGCAGAGAUAGACUAAUGUAUCUGUUAUUAAUACAUAAUUGGAUAAACACAACUGUGACAUACAUGAAUUAUUUCCAAAUUAGAAUUAUGAUAUUUUACUGUCUAUCUGGUACUUACGAUUAAUGUAAUGUGAAGUGAUGAAUAUAAGAGAGAGAGAGAGAGAGAGAGAGCAGAAGUGUUACAUAACCUCUGUGACUGGCUGGAUCACAAAGGUGUUUUGUUAACAGCAAAAUAAGGUGCAAUAAAAUUUUAAUUU